rnacentral:rRNA from 1 species
UACGUAGGGACCAAGCGUUGUUCGGAUUUACUGGGCGUAAAGGGCGCGUAGGCGGCGCGGUAAGUCACUUGUGAAAUCUCUGAGCUUAACUCAGAACGGCCAAGUGAUACUGCGGGGCUAGAGUGCAGAAGGGGCAACUGGAAUUCUCGGUGUAGCGGUGAAAUGCGUAGAUAUCGAGAGGAACACCUGCGGCGAAGGCGGGUUGCUGGGCUGACACUGACGCUGAAGCGCGAAAGCUAGGGGAGCGAACGGG